rnacentral:rRNA from 1 species
AUUGAACGCUGGCGGCAGGCUUAACACAUGCAAGUCGAGCGGAGAUGAGGUGCUUGCACCUUAUCUUAGCGGCGGACGGGUGAGUAAUGCUUAGGAAUCUGCCUAUUAGUGGGGGACAACAUUCCGAAAGGAAUGCUAAUACCGCAUACGUCCUACGGGAGAAAGCAGGGGAUCUUCGGACCUCGCGCUAAUAGAUGAGCCUAAGUCGGAUUAGGUAGUUGGUGGGGUAAAGGCCUACCAAGGCGACGAUCUGUAGCGGGUCUGAGAGGAUGAUCCGCCACACUGGGACUGAGACACGGCCCAGACUCCUACGGGAGGCAGCAGUGGGGAAUAUUGGACAAUGGGGGGAACCCUGAUCCAGCCAUGCCGCGUGUGUGAAGAAGGCCUUAUGGUUGUAAAGCACUUUAAGCGAGGAGGAGGCUACUGAGACUAAUACUCUUGGAUAGUGGACGUUACUCGCAGAAUAAGCACCGGCUAACUCUGUGCCAGCAGCCGCCGUAA